GCUAUAGCUCAGUGGUACAGCAUCUACUUUGCAUACAGAAUCUCCCAGGUACAAUGCCUGGUAUCUCCA